rnacentral:rRNA from 1 species
AUUGAACGCUGGCGGCAUGCCUUACACAUGCAAGUCGAACGGCAGCACGGGUGCUUGCACCUGGUGGCGAGUGGCGAACGGGUGAGUAAUACAUCGGAACAUGUCCUGUAGUGGGGGAUAGCCCGGCGAAAGCCGGAUUAAUACCGCAUACGAUCUACGGAUGAAAGCGGGGGACCUUCGGGCCUCGCGCCAUAGGGUUGGCCGAUGGCUGAUUAGCUAGUUGGUGGGGUAAAGGCCUACCAAGGCGACGAUCAGUAGCUGGUCUGAGAGGACGACCAGCCACACUGGGACUGAGACACGGCCCAGACUCCUACGGGAGGCAGCAGUAGGGAAUUUUGGACAAUGGGCGAAAGCCUGAUCCAGCAAUGCCGCGUGUGUGAAGAAGGCCUUCGGGUUGAAAAGCACUUUUGUCAGGAAAGAAAUCCUUGGCCCUAAUACGGUCGGGGGAUGACGGUACCGGAAGAAUAAGCACCGGCUAACUACGUG